ensembl:rRNA 5S_rRNA 5S ribosomal RNA
GCUUACGGCCACACCGCCUGGUAUACGCUUGAUCUCGGAAGAUAAGAUAGGUUGGGCCUGGUUAGUACUUGGAUGGGAGACCGCCUGGGAAUGCCAGGUGCUGUAAGCU